rfam:Thermoplasma acidophilum complete genome; segment 4/5
CGGGAAAGCGCGAGGGCAGCUGACGCCCUUGAGGUGAGGAAAGUCCCCCCUCCUCGGCGGUAUCCGGCUGGCGCAAGCCAGCAUCCUGAGAGGGAUGGUAAAGGCAAAAGAAAUAAACGGUCUCCGGUAAAGCAUGAUUCCGAAGGGAUGACGUUUCCGGAGGAUCCGAUGGAAAGCCUCCCCGGAUGGAGAAAGUCUAAACGGAUCCUGUGAGGCCGCCGUGAGGAUCGGGUAAGACGAACAGUCGAAUGCUGCCAGCCCAUUGGGUGAACAGAAGGGGGCUUACUCCGCGGAUUCCCGCCA